UGCUAGCCACCCCUUCGCAUGUCAGUC
rnacentral:piRNA from 1 species